AAAAUGACUAUGAUGAGAUGAGUAUGUAAUAUUUUUUUUAAAGAGAGUCUUAGUUUGCUGGAAUAAGAUACUAAAUUAUUACAGAAUAUGGUCUUUGAGUUUGAAAAGUUGAAUAGCUUAUGCUUUUAAAUUUUUCCGGGAGCAUCCGUUAUCAAAUGCUAGGCAUGAAAGUGCCAAACAAUGAGAGAAUAUUUUUUAUUCUAAAAUUAAGGUGGUAACGCGGAUUUUCGCCCUUAUA
rnacentral:ncRNA from 1 species